UAGGGAAUAUUGCAAAAUGGGCGAAAGCCCGAUGCAGCAACGCCGCGUGGGCGAUGAAGGCCUUCGGGUCGUAAAGCCCUUUUUGAGGGGAUGAGGAAGGACAGUACCCUCAGAAUAAGCCUCGGCUAACUACGUGCCAGCAGCCGCGGUAAAACGUAGGAGGCGAGCGUUAUCCGGAUUUCCUGGGCGUAAAGCGCGUGCAGGCGGAUUGGAGAGUUGGAUGUGAAAGCUCCCGGCUUAACUGGGAGAGGUCGUUCAAUACUUCCAGUCUUGAGUGCAGUAGAGGGAAGUGGAAUUCCGGGUGUAGUGGUGAAAUGCGUAGAUAUCCGGAGGAACACCAGUGGCGAAAGCGGCUUCCUGGACUGUAACUGACGCUCAGACGCGAAAGCUAGGGUAGCAAACG
rnacentral:rRNA from 1 species